AUUGAACGCUGGCGGCAGGCCUAACACAUGCAAGUCGAGCGGCAGCGGGAAAGUAGCUUGCUACUUUUGCCGGCGAGCGGCGGACGGGUGAGUAAUGCCUGGGGAUCUGCCCAGUCGAGGGGGAUAACUACUGGAAACGGUAGCUAAUACCGCAUACGCCCUACGGGGGAAAGCAGGGGACCUUCGGGCCUUGCGCGAUUGGAUGAACCCAGGUGGGAUUAGCUAGUUGGUGAGGUAAUGGCUCACCAAGGCGACGAUCCCUAGCUGGUCUGGGAGGAUGAGAAGCCACACUGGAACUGAGACACGGUCCAGACUCCUACGGGAGGCAGCAGGGGGGAAUAUUGCACAAUGGGGGAAACCCUGAUGCAGCCAUGCCGCGUGUGUGAAGAAGGCCUUCGGGUUGUAAAGCACUUUCAGCGAGGAGGAAAGGUUGGUAGCUAAUAACUGCCAGCUGUGACGUUACUCGCAGAAGAAGCACCGGCUAACUCCGUGCCAGCAGCCGCGGUAAAAC
rnacentral:rRNA from 1 species